UUGAUAUGUACGAACAUGGCAAUAACAUGUUGUACAAUUAGCUAUGUGAAUUGUCUAUAAACUUGGCUUUAUUUUAUUGGACGUCAUUUUUUUGAUAUUUUCCUCUUGACACGCGUAUUUGCACUCAAAACAACUCACCAGCUAACAUGGAUCUUUGAAGUUCACUUACUUUUUCACUGACUCUUCCAAAUUAAAGUUUGUUAAUUGUAUUUGCUGGUAAGUGUUUCUCACUUUUUUCUUCCUUAAUUUUUUGCUUCAAUUUUUAUCUUGUGCAAUUAGUCAAUUUUUUAGAGAAUAUAAUGAGAUGAAUAUUUGCUGGUAAGUGUUGACGUCUUUUUUCUUUGUGCAUCGUCUUUUCACUUCCGUUAAAAUAGAUUGAAGAAAGUGACCUGUUUGAGUUCCAUUUUCCAUGCUAUUGAUGAUUAACAGGAAGUUCAGGUGGACACUAAUGUUAACCACUUGCAAAUAUUGCUAGCUUUUAUGGUAGACUACUUUAUUUCAAAUUUGUUGUCAUGUUGUUUCAUACAUUCUAAAGGAAAUAAGAUUAGUUACUGAGAAAUUAUGAAUGUGUGUGUAGUGUAAGUUUAAUUCUAGCGCUAGGAAUUUGCAAGCACAACAUAUGACUUCUCAGUUAAACAGAAAAACAAUGUGUAAAUAGAUUUACAUUGUUGUGUGAAGUCACAAACUUCGAAAUACAUUAACCAAAGAGCAAAGGGAAGGUAGAGUUUUAUAGUAUCACAAAUACACACCAAAGAUAAGGAUUUCCCUCAUUAUAAUUUAUAUGAAUGUCAUCAACAUUGCUCAUAUUAAAAUGUCAAAAGUCCAAGUCUAAAUUUCAUCACCAGCUUCUGUAAGACAUACUUUGAGCUGAUAAUUCGAGAGUAUGGUUAUUAAUUCAUGGUGUAUAGAUUAAUUUUACUUUACAAGGUCUUGCAGCUUGAAUUAGGUUUUUUGAAUUUACUUAUGAAAGACGUAUGAGUUUUAACUUUAAGUACUAUAGAUUUGACUGAAUGAUAUUUUCAUAUUUUUAGUUAUAUUUUUUAUUCUGUUAUUUUACUUGUGAGUUACAUUUUUCGGGGCUAUUUGAGUGACCCAUAAUUUUGUGGUCGAAUGCCACUUAACCAUAAGGAGAGAGACAUCAACCACUUGACUCUAAUGAGAUGAAUUUCACAGAAAAAGUAGUUCAAAAGAAGCCACAAAUUUAAAUAGAAAGAAUAGUCAAUGUCAAUUAGAGACAACUUUGUUGAACUCUUCCUUUCGAAACUUACCAUCAUAUAUGAAUUAUGUUAGUAUGAAUCUAUGUAUCUGUCAAUCUUCUAAUGGAGGCAUAUAGUAUCUCUCAUAUAAUUUGUUAAUAACUUUUGAAACUAUCGAGAUUGUUUUUUGAAAAUGGAUUAUUGUAAGUUUUCUUAAAUAAUCUAUAAUAGUUCUGCUCAAGAGGAGGAAAGCCAGAAUAUUUUACAUUAUAAUUGACUCUGACAAAUCUUAGGUUGUGGUGAUCUCAUUUUGUGGAUGCGAGACAUUAGUUGUAUUGUUGUGAGCGGGUAUAUAAAGAUCGUCUUCUUUUGAAAAUUUUUGUAGAUCUCAUUAUUUUUCUUGCUUUCCAUAUUAAUGAUGAAUAGCAGAAAGGAAAAGAAAAUUAGAAACAGGAUAAUCUUGCAAGAAAUACCAGUGAGUUAUGGUUCUAUAUAGAGACCCGAAUACAUAGCUACUUGCGUACCUUAAAGAAAAAAAAUGUAUCGAUAUUAGAUGGUUCAGUUCUUGAAUCUAUCACUUUUUAACUUGCGUAUAUUUUUAUUAUUUGCAACCACCUCCUUUUUUAUCUGGCAAUUUAGUUUCUCUGCAAUAUCAACACCUACUAUAUUUUAGUAAAUAUUUCAAGUCUUUUCUUAUACAUUAUCUUUUUCUUCAUUUGCCUUUUCAAUUUAUUUUAGUGCCUAAUGAUGAUACAGGUAAACCGUGCAAGCUGACUUUCCUUCUUGGAUUAUAAGGUUUGAAUAACCCACGUUGUGAGAGAAGUUGAAAAACAUGUAUCAAGUAAAUUCACCCUUUAUUUAUAACAUUUCAGUUCUGUAUUCACACUUUCGACAUACAUUUAUCAUUUAGACUCGGGGUUGCUAGAGUUUUCCUACUACCUUUCACUCCAUAUGACAGCCUAUUUUCAACUGGCUGGAUGAAUCAGCCCAAGCCCAACAAGGAUAUCUACAAUAGAUAUUGGGCCAGUAGGCCCAAUAAGAGCAAUAAGGUCAACCCUUCCUAAAGGAUAAUUUUGGAUCGGUGCCAUUUUUCAUCGUUACAUAUAAAAAGACAUCACGAUUAAAGGUUAUCAUGAAUUAUAUGCAAAGGCAUUUAUGUGUUUUUCAUCCCCAUUGAGUAUAAGUUUCUCAUUUCCCUUCUACAGUCUAUCAAUCACUAGUUCUUUCUUACGUCUACAAUUUUGUUUGGGCUUUUGUUAUUUGAGUUGUUGUUUUAGUUUCUGGAUUUGUAAUUAAACUCUAAUCUUAUUAUUAUAGUUGAACGGUUGGUUACCGUUACAUUAGAUUUGAGUUCAUUACACUUAACCUUAUCGAAGCCCAAAAUACAUUGAUAUCCUAUAUGAUGUCUUGAAUAUUACUUGUGUAUAUACUGUCCAAAAGGCUGCAAGCCCAAAAUAAUUAAAAUGACAAAAAGGCAGUUUGAGGUCUAAAAUAGAUAUCUCUAUCAAAAAAAUAGUUUAAAAACUUACAACUAACUAAUGUUUUCUGUUUAUAUGACUAAAAUAUGAGAUGAAGCUCAAGAUAUUAAUUAUACAAUUAUCAGUAGAGAAGAAUAUAUAUAUAUAUAUAUAUAUAAUAGUCCAAAUUUUUAACUCAAAAUAAUCUUUAAACCCUUUAGAAAAUGGGAAAGUUACACAUUAGACCCUUUGCAAAAAUAGUUACUCAUAUCAUCUAGCCAAAUAUAAAUUGAUUGUGCGUUUUUUUAUUAUUAUAUAUUAUACUUAUAAUAUGCAUAUGUUUAUUAUUAUUUUAGGUGACAACAAUAC
rnacentral:lncRNA from 1 species